rnacentral:tRNA from 1 species
GGUGAGAUGCCGGAGCGGCUGAACGGCCAGGUCUCGAAAACCUUGGGGUCUGCAAGGGCCACGUGGGUUCGAACCCCACUCUCACCGCCA